rnacentral:rRNA from 1 species
ACGUAGGGGGCAAGCGUUGCUCGGAAUCACUGGGUUUAAAGGGCUCGCAGGCGGGCAUAUAAGUCGUGGGUUAAAUCUCCGAGCUCAACUCGGAUACGCCUGCGAUACUGUAUGCCUCGAGAGAGAGAUAGGAAACGGGAAUUCCCGGUGUAACGGUGGAAUGUGUAGAUAUCGGGAGGAACACCAAUAGCGAAGGCAAGUUUCUGGCUCUCUUCUGACGCUCAUGAGCGAAAGCGUGGGUAGCAAACAG